UACGAGGGGGGCAAGCGUUGUUCGGAAUUAUUGGGCGUAAAGAGCUCGUAGGCGGUUUGUCGCGUCGGCUGUGAAAACUCGGGGCUCAACCCCGAGCCUGCAGUCGAUACGGGCAAACUAGAGUGUGGUAGGGGAGACUGGAAUUCCUGGUGUAGCGGUGAAAUGCGCAGAUAUCAGGAGGAACACCGGCGGCGAAGGCGGGUCUCUGGGCCAUAACUGACGCUGAGGAGCGAAAGCGUGGGGAGCAAACAGG
rnacentral:rRNA from 1 species